rnacentral:lncRNA from 12 species
CUUUACUAAUAUAUCUAACUGGACAAACAGAAACAACAGCAGCUGUAAAAAAUUAACGACAAAACAGAACAGAUAACUCAGUUCCACUCCUUUCUUCAGCCACAGACACACUCUGCCUGUGUCUGUUCGUAAAAAAUUAACGACAAAACAGAACAGAUAACUCAGUUCCACUCCUUUCUUCAGCCACAGACACACUCUGCCCGUGUCUGUUCCCGGUGGUGAAAAACGUGGCAGGGCCCGCACAGCUGCGGAGAGCAGACGGGAGCGGAGGGGCGAAAGUGGCCGCGCUGUGUCUCAGGAAUACCACCUGAACCUGAUCCCGGACGACCUGGAACAUCACGAAACCCCAGACGCCUGUUCGUAACAAGAAAUACGCGUUUCUGCCCUCCCCGACACCAGAAACAUCCUGAGACUGUACAUCCACUCGGACGGGUGAAGUUUUCUGCGUCACCCAUGGCUGUUUUUUUUCUCGUGUUGAAAAGUGUUUUUUCUGUGUGUUUGCUAAAU